CGCUCUCUCUCUCUCUCUCUCUCUCUCUCUCUCUCUCUCUCUCUCUCUCUCUCUCUCUCUCUCUCUCUCUCUCUCUCUCUCUCUCUCUCUCUCUCCCCCCCCUGUGUGUGUGUGUGUGUGUGUGUGUGUGUGUGUGUGUGUGUGUGUGUGUGUGUGUGUGUGUGUGUGUGUGUGUGUGUGUGUGUGUGUGUGUGUGUGUGCGCGCGCACGUGUGUGU
rnacentral:lncRNA from 1 species